rnacentral:rRNA from 1 species
UCGAGAAUUUUUCACAAUGGGGGAAACCCUGAUGGAGCGACGCCGCGUGGAGGAUGAAGGUUUUCGGAUUGUAAACUCCUGUCAUUAGAGAACAAGGCGUACGGCGUAACUGCCCGUACGUUGAUAGUAUCUGAAGAGGAAGAGACGGCUAACUCUGUGCCAGCAGCCGCGGUAAUACAGAGGUCUCAAGCGUUGUUCGGAUUCAUUGGGCGUAAAGGGUGCGUAGGUGGCGUUGUAAGUCAGAUGUGAAAUCUCCGAGCUUAACUCGGAAACUGCAUUUGAUACUGCAUCGCUUGAGGAUUGUAGAGGGCAUUGGAAUUCACGGUGUAGCAGUGAAAUGCGUAGAUAUCGUGAGGAAGACCAGUGGCGAAGGCGAAUGCCUGGGCAAUUCCUGACACUGAG